rnacentral:lncRNA from 1 species
AUAUCGGGGGUGCACUGGCACAGAGGAAAGGCCAUGUGAAGCAAGAAGGCAGCCAUCUGCAAGCCAAGGAGAGAAAUUUCAGAAGGAACCAACCCUACCGACAUCUUGAUCUUGGACUUUAAGCUGCCAGACCUUUUAUACAUUUUCUACAGAAAAUGCACCCCAUCAUUGCUUAUAGCCCACCCACGUGGACUGCUCAUUCUGUGAAUCAUGUUUUACAGAAAUUGCCUUGAUGUUAGGAAUUAAAAAAACAAAACAAAACAAAAAACAUGGAGCCGUAUUCUCCAGAAGCUUACAUCUGAUUUAACGAGACAGCAAUAGGAAGCCAAAGGGUCCCUGCAGAGGAGGGUUGCAGCACGAUAACUCUACAGCUGGACAGAGACAGAUUGCAGGGGAGCAAGAAUGAAUGGCAGGCCAGCUGCCAGAAGCUUCUCACUCCGUGGAGACCUUGGAGUCGAGGAUGAAAUGUCUUACAACUGUGGGGAGACCUUGGCUUUUCCAAAGCCUACCAGGGUCCAGGACUUGGAAGCUAAGGCCCAGAGAGGAGGAGAAACUUGAUCAAAGUCAAUCAGACAAUGCAGAAUCGAGAAAAGUACCUGGACCUCUAUGCCCAUGCUUCUAGCAGCCAGCCUCCUAAAAUACCUCUAGUUGAAGCCAAAGUUAGAAUCCUUCUACGAAACUACAGGAUUAAAAUGGAAUGGUUACAUGACCCAGGCUUGACCAAUCAGAUCAUCCAAACCCUUUGCCACAGUGAUUGGUCCAGGGAUACAUGCAUGAGCCAGCUCAGUACGCAAGGCCCAAACAAUUGGUGAUAAUGAAGAAACUCUACUACCAGACGUUGCGGGAUGCCUCAAUGACCUAAUCCAGUAAAUCACAGCUCCAGCUGUCCAUGAGCUCUGUCUACCAUCUGAGGAAUUGUUUCUUUUUAAUACAAAGACUGGCACUCAUCAGAUAAUAAUUUCUGGGAUAGAAGCAAAGUAUUGGUAUUUCUUUAAGUCUCUUGAAGGUGAUUCUACUGAGCUGGGAUUAAGAACACACUGCCUUAAUCCUUUCAUCAUCAACAAAA